rnacentral:misc_RNA from 1 species
AAAAAAUUGAAAAAAAAAAAUAGAGGUUCUUCCAAAGAAAGUGUAAAUGAACAGGCAAAACUUAACAGAACUAGCCGGUGGAAAUUUUAGCAGGUACACAUAAAAUGGCAGCAAAUUAUUUGAAUUCAAUAGAACUUAACAUUAUGUACCCAACUUACAACUAUAUUUGAGGAUAUGAAAAAUCAUAAGUCCUCUAAUUAUCUCACCCAUAAAUUUCAAGUCACUAUUUGCAUGAACAGAACCUAACCCAAAAAUUCAAAAAUUUUGAAUUUGUGCAAGAAUGCAGUAAUCUCAGAAAUGAAACCCAUAAUAAAUUAGCAUAAUUUGAAAAAGAAAAGAAAAGUAGUGAGCUAACUAAUGCAUGCAUAAUAAGCUCACUUAAGCGGAUUAGUCCGACUCUUCUAGGUAAAGCAAAAAACUGAAAAUUUUCAAGACCAGUUUUCUCAGAAAACAAACAGAGCAAAAUAGAGAAAUUCACAUUAAAAAAAUCCAAAUAUUAACAUUUUCAAGCAAUUAUAAGCGCAGAAGGCAAGAAAUCACACAAAUUUUUUAAAGCGCAAUAAAACGCAGAAGAAGAGCUGAAUUAUUUGGAAAUGGAAAUUGAUCGGAGCUCGAAA